rnacentral:rRNA from 1 species
AGUCGACGGAAGGCCCUGCUUGCAGGGUACUCGAGUGGCGAACGGGUGAGUAACACGUGGGUGAUCUGCCCUGCACUUCGGGAUAAGCCUGGGAAACUGGGUCUAAUACCGGAUAGGAGCCAUUUUUAGUGUGAUGGUUGGAAAGUUUUUUCGGUGUAGGAUGAGCUCGCGGCCUAUCAGCUUGUUGGUGGGGUAAUGGCCUACCAAGGCGGCGACGGGUAGCCGGCCUGAGAGGGUGGACGGCCACAUUGGGACUGAGAUACGGCCCAGACUCCUACGGGAGGCAGCAGUGGGGAAUAUUGCACAAUGGGCGCAAGCCUGAUGCAGCGACGCCGCGUGGGGGAUGACGGCCUUCGGGUUGUAAACUCCUUUCGCUAGGGACGAAGCUUUUUGUGACGGUACCUAGAUAAGAAGCACCGGCUAACUACGUGCCAGCAGCCGCGGUAAUACGUAGGGUGCGAGCGUUGUCCGGAAUUACUGGGCGUAAAGGGCUCGUAGGUGGUUUGUCGCGUCGUCUGUGAAAUUCCGGGGCUUAACUCCGGGCGUGCAGGCGAUACGGGCAUAACUUGAGUACUGUAGGGGUAACUGGAAUUCCUGGUGUAGCGGUGAAAUGCGCAGAUAUCAGGAGGAACACCGAUGGCGAAGGCAGGUUACUGGGCAGUUACUGACGCUGAGGAGCGAAAGCAUGGGUAGCGAACAGGAUUAGAUACCCUGGUAGUCCAUGCCGUAAACGGUGGGCGCUAGGUGUGAGGGUCUUUUCACGACUUUCGUGCCGUAGCUAACGCAUUAAGCGCCCCGCC